rnacentral:rRNA from 1 species
CAGGGAUUGCCCUAGUAACGGCGAGUGAAGCGGCAACAGCUCAAAUUUGAAAUCUGGCUUCGGCCCGAGUUGUAAUUUGCAGAGGAAGCUUUAGGCGCGGCACUUUCUGAGUCCCCUGGAACGGGGCGCCAUAGAGGGUGAGAGCCCCGUAUAGUUAGAUGCCUAGCCUGUGUAAAGCUCCUUCGACGAGUCGAGUAGUUUGGGAAUGCUGCUCAAAAUGGGAGGUAAAUUUCUUCUAAAGCUAAAUACCGGCCAGAGACCGAUAGCGCACAAGUAGAGUGAUCGAAAGAUGAAAAGCACUUUGAAAAGAGGGUUAAAUAGCACGUGAAAUUGUUGAAAGGGAAGCGCUUGUGACCAGACUUGCGCCGGGCAGAUCAUCCGGUGUUCUCACCGGUGCACUCUGCCCGGCUCAGGCCAGCAUCGGUUCUCGCGGGGGGAUAAAGGCCCUGGGAACGUAGCUCCUCCGGGAGUGUUAUAGCCCGGGGCGUAAUGCCCUCGCGGGGACCGAGGUUCGCGCAUCUGCAAGGAUGCUGGCGUAAUGGUCAUCAGCGACCCGUCUUGAAACACGGACCAAGGAGUCAAGGUUUUGCGCGAGUGUUUGGGUGUAAAACCCGCACGCGUAAUGAAAGUGAACGUAGGUGAGAGCUUCGGCGCAUCAUCGACCGAUCCUGAUGUUUUCGGAUGGAUUUGAGUAGGAGCGUUAAGCCUUGGACCCGAAAGAUGGUGAACUAUGCUUGGAUAGGGUGAAGCCAGAGGAAACUCUGGUGGAGGCUCGCAGCGGUUCUGACGUGCAAAUCGAUCGUCAAAUCUGAGCAUGGGGCGAAAGACUAAUCGAA